rnacentral:rRNA from 1 species
UACGUAGGGUGCAAGCGUUGUCCGGAUUUAUUGGGCGUAAAGAGCUCGUAGGCGGUUUGUCGCGUCGGAUGUGAAACCCAGGGCUACAACCCUGGGCCUGCAUUCGAUACGGGCAGACUAGAGUAUGGCAGGGGAGACUGGAAGUUCCUGGUGUAGCGGUGAAAUGCGCAGAUAUCAGGAGGAACACCGGUGGCGAAGGCGGGUCUCUGGGCAGUAACUGACGCUGAGGAGCGAAAGCGUGGGGAGCGAACAGG